rnacentral:rRNA from 1 species
GACGAACGCUGGCGGCGUGCUUAACACAUGCAAGUCGAGCGGUAAGGCCCUUUCGGGGGUACGACGAGCGGCGAACGGGUGAGUAACACGUGGGUGACCUGCCCUCAGCUCUGGGAUAAGCCUGGGAAACUGGGUCUAAUACUGGAUAUGACUCCACGGUGCAUGUCGUGGGGUGGAAAGCCUUGUGCGGCUGAGGAUGGGCCCGCGGCCUAUCAGCUUGUUGGUGGGGUGAGGCCCUACCAAGGCGACGACGGGUAGCCGGCCUGAGAGGGCGACCGGCCACACUGGGACUGAGACACGGGCCCAGACUCCUACGGGAGGCAGCAGUGGGGAAUCUUGCGCAAUGGGGCGAAAGCCUGACGCAGCGACGCCGCGUGAGGGAUGACGGCCU